rnacentral:rRNA from 1 species
CAGCCGCCACGGUAAUACAGAGGGUGCGAGCGUUUAUCGGAUUUACUGGGCGUAAAGCGUGCGUAGGCGGCUUCUUAAGUCGGAUGUGAAAUCCCUGAGCUUAACUUAGGAAUUGCAUUCGAUACUGGGAAGCUAGAGUAUGGGAGAGGAUGGUAGAAUUCCAGGUGUAGCGGUGAAAUGCGUAGAGAUCUGGAGGAAUACCGAUGGCGAAGGCAGCCAUCUGGCCUAAUACUGACGCUGAGGUACGAAAGCAUGGGGAGCAAACAGGAUUAGAUACCCCGGUAGUCCCUGUCUCUUAUAA